GACGAAGGGGGCUAGCGUUGUUCGGAAUUACUGGGCGUAAAGAGCGCGCAGGCGGCUGGUCAAGUCCGAUGUGAAAGCUCCCGGCUUAACUGGGAAAUUGCAUCGGAAACUGAUCGGCUGGAAGGUGGGAGAGGGUAGCGGAAUUCCCGGUGUAGCGGUGAAAUGCGUAGAGAUCGGGAGGAACAUCAGUGGCGAAGGCGGCCAUCUGGGACAACACUGACGCUGAGGCACGAAAGCGUGGGGAGCAAACAGG
rnacentral:rRNA from 1 species